CUAAGAAUAUUCCGCAAUGGACGAAAGUCUGACGGAGCGACGCCGCGUGGAUGAUGAAGGCCGAAAGGUUGUAAAGUCCUUUUGCUGGGGAAGAAUAAGCGUGGGAGGGAAUGCCCGCGUGAUGACAUGAACCGGCGAAUAAGCCCCGGCUAACUACGUGCCAGCAGCCGCGUUAACACGUAGGGGGCCAGCGUUGUUCGGAAUUACUGGGCGUAAAGGGCAUGUAGGCGGCCUGGUAAGCGUGGCGUGAAAGUCAACGGCUUAACCGUGGGAUUGCGUUGAGAACUGAGAGGCUUGAGUGACGGAGAGGGAGCUAGAAUUCCUGGUGUAGGGGUGGAAUCUGUAGAUAUCAGGAAGAAUACCAAUGGCGAAGGCAAGCUCCUGGCCGAUGACUGACGCUGAGGUGCGAAAGUGUGGGGAUCAAACA
rnacentral:rRNA from 1 species